AACGAACGCUGGCGGCAUGCCUAACACAUGCCAGUCGAACGAGACCUUCGGGUCUAGUGGCGCACGGGUGCGUAACGCGUGGGAACCUGCCCUUAGGUUCGGAAUAACUCCCCGAAAGGGGUGCUAAUACCGGAUAAUGUCUUCGGACCAAAGAUUUAUCGCCUUUGGAUGGGCCCGCGUUGGAUUAGCUAGUUGGUAGGGUAAAAGCCUACCAAGGCGACGAUCCAUAGCUGGUCUGAGGGGAUGAUCAGCCACACUGGGACUGAGACACGGCCCAGACUCCUACGGGAGGCAGCAGUGGGGAAUAUUGGACAAUGGGCGAAAGCCUGAUCCAGCAAUGCCGCGUGAGUGAUGAAGGCCUUAGGGUUGUAAAGCUCUUUUACCCGGGAUGAUAAUGACAGUACCGGGAGAAUAAGCUCCGGCUAACUCCGU
rnacentral:rRNA from 1 species